rnacentral:rRNA from 1 species
UACGGGGGGGGCAAGCGUUGUUCGGAAUUACUGGGCGUAAAGGGCUCGUAGGCGGCCAACUAAGUCGGAUGUGAAAUCCCCAGGCUCAACUUGGGAACUGCAUCCGAUACUGGAUGGCUUGAAUCCGGGAGAGGGAUGCAGAAUUCCAGGUGUAGCGGUGAAAUGCGUAGAUAUCUGGAGGAACACCGGUGGCGAAGGCGGCGUCCUGGACCAACACUGACACUGAGGAGCGAAAGCCAGGGGAGCAAACGGG